AGGAUAGGUGAAAAUCAUGAUUUGAGGUGCCAAAGCCUUCCUGAAGCUUCCCAGCUCCAUCUGUGCACACCUGGCUCUGCUCCCAUCCCUUUCCUGGAAACCUUUACAAAGAUACAAAGGAGAGGACCAGUCAAGCUCCAGACAACAUGGAUCCAUCCUGAUGUGAUACACACACAGACACACAUCUGUCCACCUGCCAGGCCCCAGGAGCAGUGUGAACCCUGUGCUCAUCACCUUCCUCUGGCUCAGCAUCAGUCCCUCCAAGCCUGGUGAAACAGUCUGUCCUUCCCAUCAGUGUGUAAAGCACCAACCACCCCUACCUCCAUCUGCUGGAGCUGGUCCAGCAGCUUGAUGCUUUCCUUCAGCAUGUUGGUCCGUAGAGUGUGUGUCCAUGGAGUGACCACAUCACUCAGGCAGGCUGACAGCACCAGGAUAGGGAGCAGGACCUGGACCAGAAUACUCAUGGCCUGCUUUGGCUGGAUCCCUUCAAUCUUAGUCUCUGGAUUGUUCGGUGAUCUGUAACUGUGUGCACGUUUCUGGAGGAAGCACCUCAAUUUAUUACUGUAAAAUUGCUGAAGCAGAAGGAAAAACUUAUUUUUCCCUUAUAGGCACUUUCCAAAGUUACUCCCGAUUAGGAGAGCAACAGCUCUUUUUUGUGCAAGUCAAAAUUUUCUUCUGAUCUUGCAUUAUGAAAUUUCCACUGUAAGAUGACAAUGGCAGGAUUCAUGUCACAUACAGUAUAUAAACUGCCUGGUUUCAGGAUUCUCAAUUUCUUCAUAUCUCGAGGCUUUCUCUACACUGUGAAUUGCAAGUAGUUAAACUGGGUAGCACACUGCUCUGGCACACUCCAAUAGAAACACUUUUAAUUUUCCUCUGAGUAUCCUGCAAGUUCUUCUAUCGUGUUUCAUUUUAACAUCUCCAGAUCAUGUAAAGCAUCCUUCAUCUGCACACUGAUUUCCAUCCCUGAGUUCCUUAACCUGGGGAGGAACAGAAGGUAUGGCAGAGCCAUGUGGGAACAAACCUGGGCAGGAACAGGGCACCAGCCUGGGGGGUUCGUGGAGAGCUGGGGGCCCUCCUGACCAAACAGGAUCCCCAGAGCUGUGUGGAGUCCUGCAGGGUUUGUGCAGGGAGAUGGUGGAAAACUGGGGAGAUGUGGCCCUAUUCCAGCACUUCAGGGAGUUGGAGACUGCCCUGUCCAUCCUGCCCUGCUUGGGGAACAACAGCCUGAGCUUUCAGACAAUGGGUUCUGCCAGCCCCACCAACCAGUACUGCCACAGGAAACAGCACUUAGAAACGCUGAGCUGGGAAACUUUGGAGUUUUGUAAUAACUAAUAGGGAUUUUUCAAACUCAAACAGCAACUUGCCACCAGAUAACAACUUGUGAGCACUCGAUGAAUCUGGGGAGUAGCCAGACUGAUAGUAAUUUUGUUUGUCUGGUUCCAAGAUGCCCUGGAUGAAGUUAUGUGAAGUCAUUGACACAGAAAGACCUUUGUGAGGGAUGUGCCAGUGGAGAGCUGUGCUGUUUCCUGCCUCCCUCUUAUGGAUAGCACAUAAGGGAACAUGUUCUGGCUGUGUGACUGCAUCCAUGGCCCCCAGGGAUGGUGGGUCCUCACUGGCAUGCCCAGAGCUGUCCCACUGGUCUGGGCUGAGUGGUGCUGGUAGUAGAAUCCCUGCCUAAAAGUGAUUCUGGAGAAGGUGAUAGAGGAAGUAGCCCCAUCCUGCAGACACAAGGAUUCUCCAGUGAUCAUGGUGGGAAGCUCUAGAACUGGAAUCAGUGAAGAUCUCAAAUCACAAAAAGUUAACCUUUGCUCCACUCAGGCUGAAUCAUGGUAGAAAACUGCAUCACUGUGUGAUGAGGAAGUUACCAGUUGUGUUAGGUUUGCAUGAUAAGGUUUUAAUAGUGGGGAGCUGUUACAAGACUGGGUUCUGUGAGAAGCUGCUGGAGGAUUUCUCAGUGCCUGAUGGAACCAACUCCAGUUGCUCCAAGAGGGACCUGCUGCUGGUCAAGGCCCAGCCCAUUUGCAACAAUGGGGAAAAACCUUGCACAGCUGCAGCUGGAAGAGAAAGGAGAGAAAAUCAGGACUGAAGUGAAGCUUGGGAGGAGGGGAUGGGUGAGGUUAAGGUGUUGUAAAAUUUAGUUUUUAUUUCUCAUUAUCCUACUCUGAUUUGAUUAACAAUAAAUUGAAUGAUUAAAUAAUUAAACAAAUUUUCCCCCAAGCUGAA